UACGGAGGGUGCAAACGUUGCUCGGAAUCAUUGGGCGUAAAGCGCACGUAGACGGCCGAUUAAGUCGGAUGUGAAAGCCCCGGGCUCAACCCGGGAAGUGCAUACGAAACUGGUCGGCUUGAAUAUGGAAGAGGGUCGCGGAAUUCCCGGUGUAGAGGUGAAAUUCGUAGAUAUCGGGAGGAACACCAGUGGCGAAGGCGGCGACCUGGGCCAAUAUUGACGCUGAGGUGCGAAAGCGUGGGGAGCAAACAGG
rnacentral:rRNA from 1 species